GAAAUGCGAUAAGUAAUGUGAAUUGCAGAAUUCGGUGAAUCAUCGAAUAUUUGAACGCACCUUGCGCUCCUUGGUAUUCCUUGGAGCAUGCCUGUUUGAGUAUCAUGAAAUCUUCAAAGUAAAUCUUUUGUUAACUCAAUUGGUUUCUACUUUGGUAUUGGAGGUCUUUGCAGCUUCACACCUGCUCCUCUUUGUUCAUUAGCUGGAUCUCAGUGUUAUGCUUGGUUCCACUCGGCGUGAUAAGUUAUCUAUCGCUGAGGACACUGUAAAAGGUGGCCAAGGUAAAUGCAGAUGAACCGCUUCUAAUAGUCCAUUGACUUGGACAAUACUUUUAUGAUCUGAUCUCAAAUCAGGUAGGACUACCCGCUGAACUUAGGC
rnacentral:misc_RNA from 1 species